rnacentral:rRNA from 1 species
UACGUAGGGUGCAAGCGUUGUCCGGAAUUAUUGGGCGUAAAGAGCUCGUAGGCGGUCUGUCGCGUCGAAUGUGAAAACCCGGGACUCAACUCCGGGCCUGCAUUCGAUACGGGCAGACUAGAGUUCGGUAGGGGAGACUGGAAUUCCUGGUGUAGCGGUGAAAUGCGCAGAUAUCAGGAGGAACACCGGUGGCGAAGGCGGGACUCUGGGCCGAUACUGACGCUGAGGAGCGAAAGCGUGGGGAGCGAACAGG